rnacentral:snRNA from 1 species
GAGUUUAUUGUGCAUUUCUGGCUGCGACAUCUGUCACCCCAUUGAUCGCCAGGGUUGAUUCGGCUGAUCUGGCUGGCUAGGCGGGGGUCCCCUUCCUCCCUCACCGCUCCAUGUGUGUCCCUCCCGAAGCUGUGCGCUCGGUCGAAGAGGACGACCUUCCCCAAUAGAGGAGAGGACUGUUCUUCGGUCAAGGGUAUACGAGUAGCUGCGCUCCUCUGCUAGAACCUCCAAACAAGCUCUCAAGGUUCACUCCAAUUUCUUAAAUUUUCUGUGUAUGUAUCUCCUGUAACAUUGAAUGAACUCUGACUGUUAUU